AGGACGAACGCUGGCGGCGUGCCUAAAACAUGCAAGUCGAACGGUGUAGCAAUACACAGUGGCGAACGGCGGAGUAAUACAUAAGGAACGUGCCCUGAAGACCGGGAUAGUCAUUGGAAACGAUGGGUAAUACCGGAUGUGGCCACUCUUCGGCAUCGGAGAGUGAUUAAAUGGUUUUUACGCUUCAGGAGCGUCUUAUGGCCUAUCAGGUAGUUGGUGGGGUAAUGGCCGUACCAAGCCGACGACGGGUAGCGGGUCUGAGAGGAUGAUCCGCUCGAGUGGGACUGAGACACGGCCCACACACCUACGGGUGGCAGCGAGUUGGGAAUCUUGCACAAUGGGGGAAACCCUGAUGCAGCGACGCCGCGUGGAGGAUGACGGGUCUAGGCCUGGUAAACUCCUUUUAAUGGGAAAGACUUAGGACGGUACCCAUUGAAUAAGGACCGGCUAACUACGCGCCAGCAGCCGC
rnacentral:rRNA from 1 species